UACGAAGGGUGCGAGCGUUAAUCGGAAUUACUGGGCAUAAAGGGCGCGUAGGCUGUGCUGUAAGUCAGGCGUGAAAGCCCCGGGCUCAACCUGGGAAUUGCGCUUGAUACUGCGGCGCUGGAAGGUGGGAGAGGAUGGCGGAAUUCCCAGUGUAGAGGUGAAAUUCGUAGAUAUUGGGAAGAACACCGGUGGCGAAGGCGGCCAUCUGGCCCAUUUUUGACGCUGAGGCGCGAAAGCGUGGGGAGCAAACAGG
rnacentral:rRNA from 1 species